rnacentral:rRNA from 1 species
UAGGGAAUAUUGCACAAUGGGCGAAAGCCUGAUGCAGCAACGCCGCGUGCGCGAAGAAGGUCUUCGGAUCGUAAAGCGCUUUUCUGGGAGAUGAGAAAGGACAGUAUCCCAGGAAUAAGUCUCGGCUAACUACGUGCCAGCAGCCGCGGUAACACGUAGGAGGCGAGCGUUAUCCGGGUUCACUGGGCGUAAAGCGCGUGCAGGCGGUUCGGUAAGUUGGGCGUGAAAUCUCCCGGCUCAACUGGGAGAGGUCGUUCAAUACUACCGAACUUGAGAGCGAUAGAGGAAAAUGGAAUUCCCGGUGUAGUGGUGAAAUGCGUAGAUAUCGGGAGGAACACCAGUGGCGAAAGCGAUUUUCUGGAUCGUUUCUGACGCUCAGACGCGAAAGCUAGGGUAGCAAACG